rnacentral:guide_RNA from 1 species
AUUAACAAAUAAAUCACUGAUGGAUGAGUAAGAUGUGUUA